rnacentral:rRNA from 1 species
AAUGGAUGAGCAUAUCAAUAAGCGGAGGAUCUUGGUCAUUUAGAGGAAGUAAAAGUCGUAACAAGGUCUCCGUUGGUGAACCAGCGGAGGGAUCAUUACCGAGUUUACAACUCCCAAACCCAUGUGAACAUACCUAUUGUUGCUUCGGCGGGAUUGCCCCGGGCGCCUCGCGUGCCCCGGAUCAGGCGCCCGCCUAGGAACUUUAACUCUUGUUUUAUUUUGAAUCUUCUGAGUAGUUUUUACAAAUAAAUAAAAACUUUCAACAACGGAUCUCUUGGUUCUGGCAUCGAUGAAGAACGCAGCGAAAUGCGAUAAGUAAUGUGAAUUGCAGAAUUCAGUGAAUCAUCGAAUCUUUGAACGCACAUUGCGCCCGCCAGUAUUCUGGCGGGCAUGCCUGUCUGAGCGUCAUUUCAACCCUCAUGCCCCUAGGGCGUGGUGUUGGGGAUCGGCCAAAGCCCGCGAGGGACGGCCGGCCCCUAAAUCUAGUGGCGGACCCGUCGUGGCCUCCUCUGCGAAGUAGUGAUAUUCCGCAUCGGAGAGCUCUGAGUCCCUGCCGUUAAACCCCCAACUUUCUAAGGUUGACCU